AGACACGGACCAGACUCCUACGGGAGGCAGCAGUGAGGAAUAUUGCACAAUGGGGGAAACCCUGAUGCAGCAACGCCGCGUGGAGGAUGACGCAUUUCGGUGUGUAAACUCCUUUUAUGAGUCAAGAAAAUGACGGUAGCUCAUGAAUAAGCACCGGCUAACUCCGUGCCAGCAGCCGCGGUAAUACGGAGGGUGCAAGCGUUACUCGGAAUCACUGGGCGUAAAGGACGCGUAGGCGGGUUGGUAAGUCAGAUGUGAAAUCCUACAGCUCAACUGUAGAACUGCAUUUGAAACUACUAACCUAGAGUAUGGGAGGGGGAGAUGGAAUUAGUGGUGUAGGGGUAAAAUCCGUAGAUAUCACUAGGAAUACCUAAAGCGAAGGCGAUCUCCUGGAACAUUACUGACGCUAAGGCGUGAAAGCGUGGGGAGCAAACGGGAUUAGAUACCCCGGUAGUCCACGCCCUAAACGAUGAACACUAGUCGUCGGGAUGCUUGUCAUCUCGGUGAUGCACUUAACAGAUUAAGUGUUCCGCCUGGGGAGUACGGUCGCAAGAUUAAAACUCAAAGGAAUAGACGGGGACCCGCACAAGUGGUGGAGCAUGUGGUUUAAUUCGAAGAUACGCGAAGAACCUUACCUAGCCUUGACAUUGAUAGAACACACCAGAGAUGGAGUGGUGCCCUUCGGGGAACUUGAAAACAGGUGCUGCACGGCUGUCGUCAGCUCGUGUCGUGAGAUGUUGGGUUAAGUCCCGCAACGAGCGCAACCCUCGUCCUUAGUUGCCAGCAGGUUAAGCUGGGCACUCUAGGGAGACUGCCUUCGCAAGGAGGAGGAAGGUGAGGACGACGUCAAGUCAUCAUGGCCCUUAUGGCUAGGGCUACACACGUGCUACAAUGGGGCGUACAGAGAGUUGCAAUACCGCGAGGUGGAGCCAAUCUCACAAAGCGUCUCUCAGUUCGGAUUGAAGUCUGCAACUCGACUUCAUGAAGCUGGAAUCACUAGUAAUCGUAGAUCAGCAACGCUACGGUGAAUACGUUCCCGGGUCUUGUACUCACCGCCCGUCACACCAUGGGAGUUGAUUUCACCCGAAAUUGGGAAGCUAACCUUCGGGAGGCUACCACUUACGGUGGAAUUAGCGACUGGGGUGAAGUCGUAACAAGGUAACC
rnacentral:rRNA from 1 species